rnacentral:snoRNA from 1 species
CCUCUAGAUGAGGAAGAUACGAUUGCAUAUAUUGUAAACGGCCUAGAUGGUGACUAUGACUCGUUUGUAUCUGCUCUUGGGAUGAGGGUUGAACCCAUCACUAUGACAGAAUUGUAUGCACAAUUGCUCAACUUUGAGA